AACCCUAAUAAGUGAAGUGAGCUUAAGAUCGAAGCAAUGAUGAUUUCUUACGUAAUCAGAUUCAAUUCCCUUUCUCUCUGCAGUUGUAAACGAUAGUUACAGUUUGAUUGAUGGAAAUUUCGCUAUGUGGUGUUCCAAUGUUUGUCCUUUCUCACACGAGGAAACAUCGCUUGAUGCAGAAGCUAAGCGUACUCUUCACCCUUUUCCUUCCCAAUAAACAAUGACUAUAAUUGACUUGUAUUCAUUCUUCAUGGCAAAAUGAACCAGGGUCCGGGCUUAUAUUUUGAUAUUGGAAAGAAGGCCAGAGAUGUUCUUCAUAAGGACUACUGUCAACAAACACCAAUUCACUUUAACUACAGAUUCUUCGCUUGGAAUUUAGAUCUCUCCUGUGAAGAAGAACUUGUGCAUGGACUAAAGGGCCUUUUUGCAUGUAAUAUACCUGACUCUGGGAAGUUGGAACUUCGACACUUGAGUAGAUUCAGUGGGUUUAGUGCAAGCAUUGGAUUAUUGGGAGACGAAGGAAAAGGAUAUAGCCCUGUAGCAAACCUCUCUGGUCUUAUAGGAACCAGAAUUCUCUCCCUGGGAGCUAAUCUUGCCUAUGACAUAUCAGCAACAAGGACAACUAACAGUCUCAAUACUGGGUUGAGCCUCAACAGUCCCUACCUUGUUGCUUCCGUGACUUUGCAUGACUAUUUUCAAUCUUUGAAAGGUUGCUGCUAUUUUGAAGUGAACCCCCUGACCAAGACUGCAAUUGCAGCAGAGGUGAAGUAUGACCUUGCAGAUGAUGAGAUUACUGGUGUAACGAUUGGUGCUCAGCAUGCAUUGUUUCCUUGGACAUUGUUGAAGGCUCGACUCAGCAACAAUGGCAGGGUAGGCGCUCUUAUUCAACAGAAGUUCGGAAGGAAGUUUUCCAUAACUGUGGCAGGAGAGGUCAAUUUGAAUGAGAAAGACAAAGAAAAGUGUCCCAAGGUUGGAGUCUACAUGGCUAUAAAAUAGUUUUUCAAGAAGAAAAGCUCUUCAUGUGGAAACAGGCAACGAGAAAUCAUGAAGACGUCCAAAAGAGGUAACUCUCGAACAAAAUCCAUUCUGCAAGAGUUAAUUUCUCCUUUGCUGGUCAAGAUGAAGUGGUAGAAGCAACAUAUAUUUCUAUGCUUGAUUUGGUUUUGGAGAACUAAUUGUUCAUAGAGAGAAGUAGAGCUAUGUUUACUUAGUAAACAAUGAUCAUUUAUAUGUAAAGCAUCCAAACCAUACUAUUCCCUGCAGGGAAAAUGUGUCAACAAAACUUCAAGUAAUAAUCAGCAUGAAGAGCUGUGAUGUGUUGUUUGAAAGGUCAAUUAAUUUCCUGUUGCUCAAAAUUGUAGCUGCAAUGAUAAUGAGAACUUGGAUCUGUAUCAUUCACAUUUUAGAAUGCUUCUAUUCACAGUGAUAGUGGCAAAUGGAUUGUCUAAUUAAACAAGGCCACUGAACACAUUAUGCUUUGAAAGACAACCUUGUCAUGCUCACAUAGCUUUUACAAGGUGGAGUAGAAACUACUGAUUAUAACCUAGAAAAAGUCCAUUAUGAAAUGGGUAGCUAUAUAAUCACUAACCGAACUUGGUAAAGGGAAAUGAAAGCAGCUGAAGACUUGGAGGAAGUACCAAUUUCUUUCGAAGUGUAAAAAUAGAGUGACAAGGACUGU